CACAGCACCGGGAGGCACCGGCGGCUGUCACAGACAGCAGUUAGGCGGGCAUGGCGGCACACCGCCCCGCAUGUCCCCGCAGGACCAGACGGUCUGUUACCGGACCUCGUUUAGUUGUUAACAGAUAAAGUUUAAUAAUGCCAUAUGUGUGUGUUGAGUGUUCCUGCGCGGAGAGGCUGCCGGUGUGCAAAGCGGGACUUUCUGAGGCUGAAAGUUAACGCAGAGCUCCAAACCAGGGCGGAAUGAAGAUGAAGCCAUGCUGAUGUCCUCGGCCCUCAGCUGCUGUGCUCACUCACACCCGGCUGGUUGAGAUGUUCCAGCUCCACACAAUGCUGCAGGAAGGACCAAAGUACAUUCAGCAGAUGUUCCAGCUCUCCACAUUUCUUCAGGAAGAUCCAUAGAACACUCAGCAGAAGUUCCAGCUCCACACAAUGCUGCAGGAAGGACCAAAGUACAUUCAGCAGAUAUUCCAGCUCUCCACAUUUCUUCAGGAAGGUCCAUAGAACACUCAGCAGGCAGGAUCAGCGUUGGACAAACGGCACAGCAGCCAGAGAAAACUGAAGAACGACUGCAAAUCAAACUGGAUUUACUUCAUGUGUUUUGUAUAAUAUGUGUUCAUAUUGUAUAAAACUAAAGCAGGUUGCUUUAAGCAUUCA